rnacentral:rRNA from 1 species
GACAGAGGGUGCAAACGUUGUUCGGAAUUACUGGGCGUAAAGCGCGUGUAGGCGGUUCGGAAAGUCGGAUGUGAAAGCCCUGGGCUCAACCCAGGAAGUGCAUUCGAAACUCCCGAACUCGAGUCCUGGAGAGGAAGGCGGAAUUCUCGGUGUAGAGGUGAAAUGCGUAGAUAUCGAGAGGAACACCAGUGGCGAAGGCGAGUCCCUGGACAACUCCUGACACUGAGGCACGAAAGCUAGGGGAGCAAACAGG